UUGCAUGGCUGUCGUCAGCUCGUGUCGUGAGAUGUUCGGUUAAGUCCGCUAACGAGCGCAACCCUCGUCGUAUGUUAUAUGUGUCAUACGAGACUGCCGGUAAAAAGCCGGAGGAAGGUGAGGAUGAUGUCAAGUCAGCAUGACCUUUAUAUCCAGGGCUACACACACGCUACAAUGGUCUGUACAAUGGGUAGCCAAGCCGCGAGGCGGAGCCAAUCCUGAAAGCAGGCCUCAGUUCAGAUUGCAGUCUGCAACUCGACUGCAUGAAGCCGGAGUUGCUAGUAACCGCAGGUCAGCAAUACUGCGGUGAAUACGUUCCCGGGUCCUU
rnacentral:rRNA from 1 species